GAUGAACGCUGGCGGCGUGCCUAAUACAUGCAAGUCGAGCGAAUGGAUUAAGAGCUUGCUCUUAUGAAGUUAGCGGCGGACGGGUGAGUAACACGUGGGUAACCUGCCCAUAAGACUGGGAUAACUCCGGGAAACCGGGGCUAAUACCGGAUAACAUUUUGAACCGCAUGGUUCGAAAUUGAAAGGCGGCUUCGGCUGUCACUUAUGGAUGGACCCGCGUCGCAUUAGCUAGUUGGUGAGGUAACGGCUCACCAAGGCAACGAUGCGUAGCCGACCUGAGAGGGUGAUCGGCCACACUGGGACUGAGACACGGCCCAGACUCCUACGGGAGGCAGCAGUAGGGAAUCUUCCGCAAUGGACGAAAGUCUGACGGAGCAACGCCGCGUGAGUGAUGAAGGCUUUCGGGUCGUAAAACUCUGUUGUUAGGGAAGAACAAGUGCCAGUUGAAUAAGCUGGCACCUUGACGGUACCUAGCCAGAAAGCCACGGCUAACUACGUGCCAGCCGCCGCUGUAA
rnacentral:rRNA from 1 species